rnacentral:misc_RNA from 1 species
GAGAGAGAGGGUGGGGGGGAGGGCUCAGCUGACGUCCUGACGCGUACAAUACACGUCACGCAGGAUCGCAGACGCAGUAAUCAUUAUUGAUGUCCCACGUGGAAACAGUGAAGGUAACCACAAUGACUACCACCCCCACCCCCCUCUCCAUCACCACCAGCACCACCACCACCGCCACCACCCAGAGAGAGAUGGAUGAAGUCAGCAUUGCCUCUGACUUCAGCAUUAUUCCAGAGAGCAUGGUCGAGAUAGAGGGAGCGGCAGGGGGGGGCCACUGUCCAACCCGCACUGUGUCGACUGGGAGUUUCCUUCACUCAGAGGAUCUCCAGCCCUCACUGUCCGCCCUGGAGACACACGCCAAGGUAAGCUUCUCGAACAUCCACCCAACGUACUGCAGUGACACAGACGUAGCAGUGACCUACAGUUUGACCCCUGCCGUGAUCCCGAGGUCGUCUGACAGAGUAGGCCUAUAUAGGGUAGGCUUCACCUCCCCCCAGGAGUACCUAAGCUACCAGUGGGCCCCAGCACCCCCCCAGGACCUCCAGCCUGGCCUUGCUCCCUCUCUAACUGUGGUUUUUAGAGCUCCCAGUUUGCCCAAAGAAAUUGAUGAAUUCUACCAGUUUUGCUACGUGACUCAUGAAGGGCAGAUAGCGGGGGUCAGCGCCCCCUUCCAGCUGGUAGGGGUGAGUGCGGCAAGCGAUGUGUGCGGUGUUGAGGAGGACGGCAUGGUGGUGGUGCGUUCUGGCGAGAGUGUUUUGCACCAGAGAAUUAAUGAGCUGGUGGUGAUGAAGGACAAGCUGGUGGGAGAGUGUGAGGUGGUGAGAGGAGAGAGAGAGGAGAUGAGUAAACAGCUGGAGGAGAAGACACAGCAGCUCAACAUGUGUCAACACCACCUGCAGGCCAUCGAAGUGAAGAUGAAGAGGGUGACGGCAGAGAAGUGUGAGCUGAUGGGCCGCGUGGGACAGGUGGUGGAGGACAAGGGCCAUCUGGAGGACCGCUUGAAGACACUGGACCGAUCCAUCACUGCCGAGAGGACCAGGGCGGACACGGCGGAGGCAAAGGUCAAGGAGUUGGAGGAGGCGACCUUGACCUCACGCAAAUCCCUGGAGAAGACCAUCCACUCCCUCAGGGCCACAGAAGACCAGCUCUCACUCACCAAGGAGGCUCUAAAGGCGACCAAGGCGGAGCUGCAGGAGGAGCAGGCGGGCCGGGAGAAGGCGGUCCAUGAGUUGGCCAUAUGGACGGACACUGCCCAGGCCGACCUUUCCGAGAAGAACUCACUCACUGCUAAGUUCAACAGUGUUAGUGCAGAGCUGACAGCCAAGAUGGAGGAGAUGGAGGCAACUCGUAGGAAAGUCUUCUCACUGGAGGAAAAACUGAAGGAGGCUCUGGAGGAACUGGAGGGGGUGAAGGGUGCGCAGGAGAGUGCAGAGACAAAGGUGGCAGCAUUGGAGAGGGAGAAAGCGGUGUUGACAGAGAGACAGGAGGCUCUGGGACUGGACAACACCAGGCUGCAGGCUGCCAACACCGCCCUCAAGGAACAUGUGUCUGCCUUGCAACACCAGCAGGAGAGGGAGAUGAAGGGCAGGGAGGCCGCUGAAACUAUAGCCAGCGAUCUGAGUGGGCGUCUUCAGGCAGCUCGGACAGAGUACACCACGCUGGCUGUCAUCAAUAAGAGACUCAUGCGGAAAUUGAAGAAGAUGAGGAGUAGGAUGGAGAGCACACCAGGAGGCAGCAACACCAAUAAAGCAGGGAAUGAUAGUGUUAUGACAACCUCAAUCACAACAACCUCGUCUUGGCUUCAAUUGGAGGAGGAGGAGGAGGUGGAGGAGGAGGGUGAGAGGGUGGAGGAGGAAGCCCCAUCUGUCCUCUCCCAGUCCUGCCUCUCACAGCCUCUCACAGCCUCCUGUUGUUCUCACAGCACGCAGCAACUUAGCGAGGUAGUGAAUAAGAAGAUGGAAGAUAUUGUGAAGGAACUUUCACAGCAAAUUCUGUCUUUGAAGUGCCAGCUGGAGGAGAAGGAGAGGAGGAGUGAGGAGAAGAAGGAAGAGGAAGAGGAGGAGGAGGAGGACACACCACAGCACGCCACAGGAACAGCCACAGAUUCUCCACCGCAAGUUCUGUAUUCAAAUUCCUUCUUGAAAACUGCGACCACAGCACCCGUCUUCCUGCCAGAGGGCCUCAACACCACAGCCGCAGCCACCACCACACCACACAGCACCACAAACACCACACACAGCACCACAGAAACCACCACCACCACCACAAACACCACACAGCGCGUCAACUACCACUACCAGAUCGCCACACCACCACAGCCUACCACAGCCGGAUUUCUACCACCACCACUGCUGCCUGAGACCACCAGCACAGCACGCCACGCUGCGGUGAUGGGUCAGUUUGCCACAGCGCCCACAGCACCACCACACGAUUCUGAUGAUGAUGAUUUUCACAGCACAGACAGUGAUUCAUCUCCUGCUGUGACGUUGACCUCUGCUGUGACCUCUGCUGCUGUGCUAGGCCCCCACCCCCCUCCUGUGACCUCCCAGCCACAGCCACUGCCUCAGAAUUUGCCACAGUUAAGCAGUGACAACAGCAUGGACCCCCCCUCCCACAGCACCCCGUCCCUCUCGGUGGUCCAGUGCCCCCUCUGCAGCCUUGUGUUCCCUCAGGAGUCGGCCAGACUGCUGGAGGAACAUGUCAACUCUCACCUGGAGCAUGUUUGUCCUGUAUGCUCCAAAGUGUUCCAGAGAAAUUGCCAGGAGAGGUUCCAAGCACAUGUCCAGGAGCAUUUCAAGGAGGAGGAGGAGGAGGAGGAGGAGAGGAGGCUGGAGGAGGAGGAUUCGUCAGGCCCCUGGGGGAGACACCUCAGGAACGCCCACCUGCUGGAGAUUGACUGAAGAGAGAGAGAGAGAGGGGCAAGGGAGGGGGAGAGAGAGAGAGAGAGAGAGAGAGUGGCGAGGGAGGGGAAAGAGAGAUAGAGAAUGAGAGAGAGGGUUGUUUUAAAGUGUGUGUGUGAGAGAGAGAGAGAGAGAGAGAGAGAGAGAGAGGGGUUGUAAAGGGCUGUGAUGAAUAAAGAGAAAGAGAGAGAGAGAGAAUUUAAUCUAUAUAUAUUCAAUAGACAUACAAAUUUAUAUACAAUAGCAAUAGUCUUGGUAGUAUUAGAGGCAUUUAUGAUGUGUGUGUGUGUGUGUGUGUGUGUAGAGGCACACACACACACACACACACACACACACACACACACACACACACACACACAAAAGAGGUCAGUAACGUAUAUUGUUAAGCACUGUAGCGAGAGAGAGAGAGAGAGAGAGAGAGAGAGAGAGAGAGAGAGAGAGAGAGAGAGAGAGAGAGAGAGAGAGAGAGAGAAAAGGAGGACAAACAUCCAAGAACACAAACAAGGCUGUGUGUGUUAAUUAAAAUAUUUUAAUUACCUUAUAUUUACUUAAUGGCAUUUCUUGGGUCAAUAAAUAUACCAUUAUCA